UACGAAGGGGGCGAGCGUUGUUCGGAUUUACUGGGCGUAAAGGGCGCGUAGGCGGCCUUCUAAGUCGAACGUGAAAUCCCCGGGCUUAACCCGGGAACUGCGUCCGAUACUGGAAGGCUUGAAUCCGGGAGAGGGAUGCGGAAUUCCAGGUGUAGCGGUGAAAUGCGUAGAUAUCAGGAGGAACACCGGUGGCGAAGGCGGGUCUCUGGGCCGAUAUUGACGCUGAGGAGCGAAAGCGUGGGGAGCGAACAGG
rnacentral:rRNA from 1 species